UACGUAGGGCGCAAGCGUUAUCCGGAAUUAUUGGGCGUAAAGAGCUCGUAGGCGGUUUGUCGCGUCUGCCGUGAAAGUCCGGGGCUCAACUCCGGAUCUGCGGUGGGUACGGGCAGACUAGAGUGAUGUAGGGGAGACUGGAAUUCCUGGUGUAGCGGUGAAAUGCGCAGAUAUCAGGAAGAACACCGGUGGCGAAGGCGGGUCUCUGGGCCGUAACUGACGCUGAGGAGCGAAAGCAUGGGGAGCGAACAGG
rnacentral:rRNA from 1 species